rfam:Anaerolinaceae bacterium 46_22 MPJ_scaffold_7796, whole genome shotgun sequence.
GGAUAAGGUCCCAAGGGUCGGGCUGUUCGCCCGUUAAAGCGGUACGCGAGCUGGGUUCAGACCGUCGUGAGACAGGUCGGUCUCUAUCCACUGUGGGCGGAAGGGAUUUGAGGAGAGCUGCUCCUAGUACGAGAGGACCGGAGUGGACAGACCUCUAGUGUGCCAGUUGUCGUUCCAACGGCAUCGCUGGGUAGCUACGUCUGGCAGAGAUAACCGCUGAAAGCAUCUAAGCGGGAAACUCGCUCCAAGAUUAGAUCCCUCAUCCAGUAAAUGGAGUAAGAUCGCAGGUAGACCACCUGCUUGAUAGGCAGUAUGUGUAAGCGUAGCAAUACGUGAAGCUAAACUGUACUAAUGAUCGAGGGCUUCACCAC